rnacentral:rRNA from 1 species
AGUGAACGCUGGCGGUAGGCCUAACACAUGCAAGUCGAACGGCAGCACAGUAAGAGCUUGCUCUUACGGGUGGCGAGUGGCGGACGGGUGAGGAAUACAUCGGAAUCUACUUUUUCGUGGGGGAUAACGUAGGGAAACUUACGCUAAUACCUCAUACGACCUACGGGUGAAAGCAGGGGAUCUUCGGACCUUGCGCGAUUGAAUGAGCCGAUGUCGGAUUAGCUAGUUGGCGUGGUAAAGGCCCACCAAGGCGACGAUCCGUAGCUGGUCUGAGAGGAUGAUCGGCCACACUGGAACUGAGACACGGUCCAGACUCCUACGGGAGGCAGCAGUGGGGAAUAUUGGGCAAUGGGCGAAAGCCUGACGCAGCAAUGCCGCGUGGGUGAAGAAGGCCUUCGGGUCGUAAAACUCUUUUGUUAGGGAAGAAAAGAUGUGGAAGUAAACACGCCUGUUUUGACGGUACCUAAAGAGAAAGCAACGGCUAACUUCGUG